GAUCGUUAUCGUGUUUGGAAUGGUCUCGUUAGCUAACGGAUGAGCAAGUGCUCGGCUCACUGGCCCAAAUGCAGUUUGCCCGGAGACGCCGGUUAACCCAGCACUGAAAUGUGUAGUUUCGAGACCACUCUAAUCCAUUGCAGCAUUU
ensembl:ncRNA mir-956 mir-956 stem loop